GCCCAACUUUGAAAGAAUUCAAAUUCAGGUUGACUGUAGUUUAAUUCUCUUCUUCAGGUAUGAAGUGUACUACACAGUGAGUUCCUCAUCAAUUCCAUGAACCUCAUCACUGCCAUAAUUUCAUGAUUGGAAACACUGUUUCAGACCACUCAGUUUCUCCCCAUACUGUGCUGUCUUCUGGAGAAAAUCUAGAUUCUGUCUUCUAGCAAAACUUCACCUGCACACUCACGAUUAUGAGAUUAACUGAAAUGAUGAGAGAAAGGGCAUGUGUGGCCUUUGCAGCAGUGAACUACAACAC
rnacentral:lncRNA from 1 species